GCGGACGGGUGAGUAAUGCUUGGGAAUCUGGCUUAUGGAGGGGGAUAACUACUGGAAACGGUAGCUAAUACCGCGUAAUAUCGAGAGAUUAAAGACUGGGACCUACGGGCCAGUUGCCAUAAGAUGAGCCCAAGUGGGAUUAGGUAGUUGGUGGGGUAAAGGCCUACCAAGCCCGCGAUCUCUAGCUGGUCUGAGAGGAUGACCAGCCACACUGGAACUGAGACACGGUCCAGACUCCUACGGGAGGCAGCAGUGGGGAAUAUUGCACAAUGGGGGGAACCCUGAUGCAGCCAUGCCGCGUGAAUGAAGAAGGCCUUCGGGUUGUAAAGUUCUUUCGGUGGUGAGGAAGGUAUCAACUUUAAUAGAGUUGGUAAUUGACGUUAUCCACAGAAGAAGCACCGGCUAACUCCGUGCCAGCAGCCGCGGUAAUACGGAGGGUGCGAGCGUUAAUCGGAAUGACUGGGCGUAAAGGGCACGCAGGCGGAUUGUUAAGUGAGAUGUGAAAGCCCCGGGCUUAACCU
rnacentral:rRNA from 1 species